GACGAACGCUGGCGGCGUGCUUAACACAUGCAAGUCGAACGGAAAGGCCCUGCUUUUGUGGGGUGCUCGAGUGGCGAACGGGUGAGUAACACGUGAGUAACCUGCCCUUGACUUUGGGAUAACUUCAGGAAACUGGGGCUAAUACCGGAUAGGAGCUCCUGCUGCAUGGUGGGGGUUGGAAAGUUUCGGCGGUUGGGGAUGGACUCGCGGCUUAUCAGCUUGUUGGUGGGGUAGUGGCUUACCAAGGCUUUGACGGGUAGCCGGCCUGAGAGGGUGACCGGCCACAUUGGGACUGAGGUACGGACCAGACUCCUACGGGAGGCAGCAGUGGGGAAUAUUGCACAAUGGGCGGAAGCCUGAUGCAGCAACGCCGCGUGCGGGAUAACGGCCUUCGGGUUGUAAACCGCUUUCGCCUGUGACGAAGCGUGAGUGACGGUAAUGGGUAAAGAAGCACCGGCUAACUACGUG
rnacentral:rRNA from 1 species